GAAGGGUCUGGCUGCAGACCAUGGGCGAGUGGAGCUCCACUCUCAAACCGGAAAUACGUCACCUCCACUUGAAAACAUCAAGAUGGCGUCGCGGGGAGUACUUCAAAAUUAAACUCAGGGAUAGGAUUGGCAUAGAAGAUGCAGCACUCUUUACAUUUUAAAUGUAAGUUGCCACCUUAGAAGUCAAGAUCAAAUGUAUAUCAAGUGUUAUCCAUCCUCAUAACACCUCCACAAAUAGAGAGUGGAACUUCUGAGCACCAUCACCUUGUCUGCUAUGGGACUGUCAUAGCCCAGCAAUCAGAUGCAUCAGAACAACAAAGCACAACUGUGGUGGCCUAGGCACCUUCAGCAACAAAGAUUUAACAACACUGUCAGUCGGGAGAAUAUUUAACAGGAGCCACACUCAACUGGCUUGAUGGUGACUUCAGUGCAGUGAAGAUAUUUAAAGAGACACUAUCUAAAGUACAGAAAGCCGUACAUAAUCUCUAGGUGCAGUCGCCUACAGUGCAGCCAGCUUCACAAAGACUGUGGGGCUGGUCACCAGGAAAAUGGCCAACAAGGAGUGCUUUUGGGGUUUUACUCCUCAGAUGACCACCCUGGCUACUGUAGCUGGGAUUGCUUCACAGACAAUGGAGGUCUUAAAGAGUAAAGUGUGCGUGCAUUGUGAACACAUUGUGUUAUUACAGUAACAAUUAUGGUCACUUGCAGUUCAUGUGUUUUCAAUGUAAUGUAAGAUGUGUUAAUUAUUAUUAUUACUCAAAAACCAUUAAAACUUCUAAAUUGUGGAAGUUAUUCUUCAUUAUUUUACUGUUGUUGUAAUAUACUGUUGAUUAAAAUAC